AACGAACGCUGGCGGCGUGCUUAAUACAUGCAAGUCGAACGAGAAAAUCCGGCUUCGGUCGGGUGAGUAAAGUGGCGAACGGGUGAGUAACACGUGGGUAAUCUGCCCUCAAGUUUGGAAUAAGCCCUCGAAAGGGAGUCUAAUACCGGAUAAUAUCUUUUGGCGGCAUCGCUUGAGAGAUCAAAGAUGGGGUAACCUAUCACUUGGGGAUGAGCCCGCGCUCCAUUAGCUUGUUGGUAGGGUAAAAGCCUACCAAGGCUGUGAUGGAUAGCCGGCCUGAGAGGGUGACCGGCCACACUGGGACUGAGAUACGGCCCAGACUCCUACGGGAGGCUG
rnacentral:rRNA from 1 species